rnacentral:rRNA from 1 species
UACGUAGGGACCGAGCGUUGUCCGGAAUCAUUGGGCGUAAAGAGCGUGUAGGCGGCCUUUUAAGUCCUGCGUGAAAUCCUGCGGCUCAACCGCAGACGGUCGUGGGGAAACUGGAAGGCUAGAGUGCGGGAGAGGAGAGUGGAAUUCCCGGUGUAGCGGUGAAAUGCGCGAUAUCGGGAAGAAACACCCCGUGGCGAAGGCAAUCCCCUGGACCUGUACUGACGCUCAUGCACGAAAGCUGGGGGGAGCAAACAGG